rnacentral:piRNA from 1 species
UUGUCCCAGUAUACCAAUAUU